ACCUAUAGCCAUACCAGUCAAAAGGUGCCAGAUCUUAGAAGCCAUCCAGACUCGUGCCUAGUUAGUACUUGGAUGGGAGACCAACUAAGAAUACUGGGUGCUUUUGGAG